rnacentral:rRNA from 1 species
ACGGAAGGCAGCAGUGGGGAAUAUUGCACAAUGGGCGAAAGCCUGAUGCAGCGACGCCGCGUGAGCGAAGAAGUAUUUCGGUAUGUAAAGCUCUAUCAGCAGGGAAGAUAAUGACGGUACCUGACUAAGAAGCACCGGCUAAAUACGUGCCAGCAGCCGCGGUAAUACGUAUGGUGCAAGCGUUAUCCGGAUUUACUGGGUGUAGAGGGAGUGUAGGCGGUUUUACAAGUCUGAUGUGAAAGCCCGGGGCUCAACUCCGGUACUGCAUUGGAAACUGUAGAACUAGAGUGUCGGAGGGGUAAGUGGAAUUCCUAGUGUAGCGGUGAAAUGCGUAGAUAUUAGGAGGAACACCAGUGGCGAAGGCGGCUUACUGGACGAUUACUGACGCUGAGGCUCGAAAGCGCGGGGAGCAAACAGGAUUAGAUACCCUGGUA